UACGUAGGGUGCGAGCGUUACUCGGAAUUACUGGGCGUAAAGCGUGCGCAGGCGGUUUUGUAAGCCAGAUGUGAAAUCCCCGGGCUUAACCUGGGAAUGGCAUUUGGGAUUGCAAAGCUUGAGUGUGGCAGAGGGGACUGGAAUUCCUGGUGUAGCAGUGAAAUGCGUAGAGAUCAGGAGGAAUACCGAUGGCGAAGGCAGGUCCCUGGGCUGACACUGACGCUCAUGCACGAAAGCGUGGGGAGCAAACAGG
rnacentral:rRNA from 1 species